rnacentral:rRNA from 1 species
GAUGAACGCUGGCGGCGUGCCUAAUACAUGCAAGUCGAGCGAACGGACGAGAAGCUUGCUUCUCUGAUGUUAGCGGCGGACGGGUGAGUAACACGUGGAUAACCUACCUAUAAGACUGGGAUAACUUCGGGAAACCGGAGCUAAUACCGGAUGAUAUUUUGAACCGCAUGGUUCAAAAGUGAAAGACGGUCUUGCUGUCACUUAUAGAUGGAUCCGCGCUGCAUUAGCUAGUUGGUAAGGUAACGGCUUACCAAGGCAACGAUGCAUAGCCGACCUGAGAGGGUGAUCGGCCACACUGGAACUGAGACACGGUCCAGACUCCUACGGGAGGCAGCAGUAGGGAAUCUUCCGCAAUGGGCGAAAGCCUGACGGAGCAACGCCGAGUGAGUGAUGAAGGCCUUCGGAUCGUAAAACUCUGUUAUUAGGGAAGAACAUAUGUGUAAGUAACUGUGCACAUCUUGACGGUACCUAAUCAGAAAGCCACGGCUAACUACGUG